rnacentral:rRNA from 1 species
GGCUCAGGACGAACGCUGGCGGCGUGCCUAAUACAUGCAAGUCGAGCGAACCACUUCGGUGGUUAGCGGCGGACGGGUGAGUAACACGUGGGCAACCUGCCUGUAAGACUGGGAUAACUUCGGGAAACCGGAGCUAAUACCGGAUAAUCCUUUUCCUCUCAUGAGGRAAAGCUGAAAGACGGUUUCGGCUGUCACUUACAGAUGGGCCCGCGGCGCAUUAGCUAGUUGGUGAGGUAACGGCUCACCAAGGCGACGAUGCGUAGCCGACCUGAGAGGGUGAUCGGCCACACUGGGACUGAGACACGGCCCAGACUCCUACGGGAGGCAGCAGUAGGGAAUCUUCCACAAUGGACGAAAGUCUGAUGGAGCAACGCCGCGUGAGCGAUGAAGGCCUUCGGGUCGUAAAGCUCUGUUGUUAGGGAAGAACAAGUACCGGAGUAACUGCCGGUACCUGAC